rnacentral:rRNA from 1 species
GCCCAAUCUCCCUCCCACCCCGAACUCCGAUCGAGGCGAUGCCCCCCACACCACACGUCCGCGACCGCGACGCCGCGACGCUACCGCCACCACCACCGCCACUACCCGGCCAUGGCCACGCUGCUCCCCUCGUUUCCGCACGCCCUCUCCAAGCCCCGCCACCUCCACCACCACUCCCACGUCGCCGCCGCCUCCGCCAGGCCCGAGGCCCCCAGCCCCGCCUCCGCGGCCCCCGCCAGCUCCCGCCUCCGCCGCCUCAUCGCGCGCGACGACCUCGCCGAGGCCGCGCGCCUCGUCGAGACCUCCUCCUCCCGCGGCGAGGCGCCCGACGUCUACCUCUGCACCAAGCUCAUCCGCAACCUCUGCCGCCGAGGCCGCACCUCCGACGCCGCGCGCGUCCUCCGCACCGCCGAGGCCUCCGGCGCCCCGGUCGACGUCUUUGCCUACAACACCCUCGUCGCCGGCUACUGCCGCUACGGCCGCCUCGACGCCGCGCGCCGCCUCAUCGCCGAAAUGCCCGUCCCGCCCGACGCCUACACCUACACGCCCAUCAUCCGGGGCCUCUGCGACCGCGGCAGGGUCGGCGACGCGCUCGCCCUGCUCGACGAUAUGCUCCAGCGCGGCUGCCAGCCCAGCGUCGUCACCUACACCGUCCUCCUCGAGGCUGUGUGCAAGAGCAGCGGCUUCGGAGAGGCCAUGAACGUCCUCGACGAGAUGCGUGCCAAGGGCUGCACGCCUAACAUUGUCACCUACAACGUCAUCAUCAACGGCAUGUGCAGGGAGGGCCGCGUCGACGAUGCCAGGGAGAUCUUGAACCGGCUGUCGUCUUAUGGCUUCGAGCCCGACAUCGUCAGCUACACCACUGUGCUCAAGGGCCUGUGUGCUGCUAGGCGGUGGGACGACGUCAAGGUGCUCUUUGCUGAGAUGGUGGAGAAGAAUUGCGUGCCGAAUGAGGUUACCUUUGACAUGCUAGUCAGAUUCUUCUGUCGUGGGGGUAUGGUGGAGAGGGCAAUCGAAGUUCUUCAGCAAAUGUCACAGCAUGGAUGCACACCCAACACUACCUUGUGCAACAUUGUCAUAAACGCUAUGUGUAAACAAGGUCGUGUGGAUGAUGCCUAUGACUUCUUGAACAACAUGGGCAUGUAUGGGUGCAAUCCUGAUACCAUUAGCUAUACUACUGUGCUAAGGGGCUUGUGUCGCUCCGGACGAUGGGAGCAUGCCAAGGAGCUAUUGCCGGAGAUGGUCCUAAAGAACUGUCCCCCAAAUGAGGUUACAUUCAAUACAUUCAUAUGUAUCUUGUGCCAGAAAGGAUUGAUUGAGCAAGCUAUCAAGCUUAUUGAACUGAUGCCAGAGUAUGGAUGUUCAGUGGGUAUUGUCACAUACAACGCUCUUGUCCAUGGCUUCUGUGUGCAAGGGCGUGUUGAUAGUGCUCUUGAGUUGUUUAACAAUCUUCCAUGUGAGCCCAACACCAUUACAUACACUACGUUGUUGACAGGCUUGUGCCAUACCGAGCAGCUGGAUGCUGCUGCAGAGCUCUUGGCUGAGAUGAUUCAGAAGGAUUGCCCUCUAAAUGCAGUGACUUUCAACGUACUUGUGAGUUUCUUCUGUCAAAAAGGGUUUGUCGAGGAAGCAAUCGAACUUGUGUAUCAAAUGAUGGAGCAUGGUUGCACCCCUAACCUGAUCACAUUUAAUACUUUACUCGAUGGGAUCACCAAGGAUUGCAACUCAGAAGAAGCGCUGGAGCUAUUGCAUGGUUUGGUCAGUAAGGGGGUAUCCCUAGAUACGAUAACCUACUCUUCAGUCGUUGAUGUCCUCUCAAGAGAAGAUAGAACUGAAGAAGCCAUUCAGAUGUUUCAUGCCGUGCAAGAUAUGGGGAUGAGACCAAAAGCUGGGAUGUAUAACAAGAUACUGUUCGCCCUCUGUAAAAGAUGUGAAACAGAUCAGGCUAUUGAAUUUUUUGCUUAUAUGGUGUCUAACGGUUGCAUGCCUAACGAGUCGACCUACAUUAUACUCAUUGAAGGCCUUGCCCAUGAGGGUAUGUUGAAGGAGGCACGAUAUGUACUGAGUGAGUUGUAUGCGAAAGGAGUUCUAAGCAAGAGUUUACUUGAAGACCAGCACUAAGGUUGUGGUUCACACUCUGCAUAUGCCUUAUUACUGAAGAGUGAGAAAGAAAAUUGUGCAUAUGCCUUGAGUCAUGAGGCUUUGGUGCUUAUUAAAUUCUGCUGAGUCUCCAUGGGCCUCACUUUCAGCAAGCUGGAAUCGGGUGGCAUGUUUUAUGUGUGUGCUUCAAGCUACAAUGAUCCAUAAAGAUGGGAUAGGUUUUUUAAGUGUGAAGACCAAGGAAAUCAAAAGGACGGUCUGCAGGAUAACACAAGCAAAUAAGAUAAAAGCAUGUUCAUACUUAUAACGGCCUAAUAAAAGAUACAGGCCAAUAAAGUUUCUUAGAAACACUUCUCAGUUUCAGCAGUUUGAGACUAAAUUGUUGAAUUAUUUGACUAUACUUCUCCGUGUGUAUAAACAUUUUGGUUUGUCUUCCAUGAGCAAUGGUAUGUGCACAAUUGCUUUCCUUUCAGGGCCUUGUUAACUAUGCUUUUCUUGUACAUUCUGAAUAUCUAUUUUUAUCUAGUAGUUUGAAUUAUGGACUAAGUGGUCCUCGAUGAAUCAUGUUUCUGCCUAGGUUUCCCUGACUGAAUAUUCACAUGUCAAAAGAGUACUGCAAGUGAGGAAAAUAUAAUGUCAGCUGGAUCUAUUUUUAAUCUAUGAACAGGCUAUCUACGCGUACCAAUUUCAUCAUCAAGAAUUUGCAUAUUGGUGAAACCACAGGGCAUGAUGUGAGAUACCAUUCACAGGUUGGCUGUUGUUAGAACACCUAUACCCAUCGUUGUCUGCAGCAAAGGGCACAGGUUCAGAGUGAACCUCAUGUUCUUUUUUUGGCUUCAAAGUUGGAACCGCAGUUCGAUGGCUCAUAAGUCAUAUAUGAUGGUUCAUCACUUACCAGUUAUACCUAUACUGCUUUAGUGUCCACGGUGACAUGGGCGCAUUGCAGGACUAACCAAAACUACCGUAUAUAUCCUUCAAGAUUUGGUUCAGUUUGUUGCAUGUUGAUUGGUUCUAAUUCAUCUGUUCAAAGCAUCAUAUGUAAGUUCACUGGGCUCUGUUUUAAAAUUAGUUCCACAAAACCAUUUAAAUGAAGGAAAAACAGGACGCAAGCAAGCUGGUAAUAGGAAAUCAAGAUAGACUUACAUCACAUUACAUUUUGCUGAGCUUCUACCUCGUGUUUAUAGGAUUAUUAUGUAGCUUGUCUGCAACGGUUCAGAGCUGGGCAAUGACAAAAUGUAUUUCUAGUCAGUAGCCUGCACAUAAACAAGCAACUCUUCCAUGUGAUCAUCAGGCAUCUUUGGAUUCAAGACAUUUACAGAGUUCCGUAGUACUUCUAUUAAGAAGAUAUUUUCUCUAUGGAGGGUCCUUGUACCAAAUGAAUGAUACCACCAAAAUUCCUAUGGACUGUUCUUUUUACAGACCUAAUCCUUUAUUAGGAAUCAUAGCGAGAGGUUACAUUUCAUGCUUUGUGUUUUCUCUCUUCGGAUCCAUGUAUAGCAUCCGAAAGGCCAUGUAGGUAAAUAUUGUAGGAUUUAGGGAGCCAUGACAACCAUUUUUCUAUAAUCGGGAGCCAUCUCCUGCAGUUUUAUUAUCUUGCU